rnacentral:rRNA from 1 species
AGGGAAUCCUCCGCAAUGGGCGAAAGCCUGACGGAGCAACGCCGCGUGAGUGAAGAAGGUCUUCGGAUCGUAAAACUCUGUUAUUAGGGAAGAACAAAUGUGUAAGUAACUAUGCACGUCUUGACGGUACCUAAUCAGAAAGCCACGGCUAACUACGUGCCAGCAGCCGCGGUAAUACGUAGGUGGCAAGCGUUAUCCGGAAUUAUUGGGCGUAAAGCGCGCGUAGGCGGUUUUUUAAGUCUGAUGUGAAAGCCCACGGCUCAACCGUGGAGGGUCAUUGGAAACUGGAAAACUUGAGUGCAGAAGAGGGAAGUGGAAUUCCAUGUGUAGCGGUGAAAUGCGCAGAGAUAUGGAGGAACACCAGUGGCGAAGGCGACUUUCUGGUCUGUAACUGACGCUGAUGUGCGAAAGCGUGGGGAUCAAACAGGAUUAGAUACCCUGGUAGUCCACGCCGUAAACGAUGAGUGCUAAGUGUUAGGGGGUUUCCGCCCCUUAGUGCUGCAGCUAACGCAUUAAGCACUCCGCCUGGGGAGUACGACCGCAAGGUUG